rnacentral:rRNA from 1 species
UACGAGGGGGCAAGCGUUGUUCGGAAUUAUUGGGCGUAAAGGGUGCGUAGGCGGUUUGGUAAGUCUGAUGUGAAAUCUAUGGGCUCAACUCAUAGUCUGCAUCGGAAACUGCCGGGCUUGAGUGUGGGAGAGGUGAGUGGAAUUCCUGGUGUAGCGGUGAAUGCGUAGAUAUCAGGAGGAACACCUGUGGCGAAAGCGGCUCACUGGACCAUAACUGACGCUGAUGCACGAAAGCGUAGGGGAGCAAACAGG